GGGGAAUAUUGCGCAAUGGGGGAAACCCUGACGCAGCAACGCCGCGUGAUUGAAGAAGGCCUUCGGGUUGUAAAGAUCUUUAAUCAGGGACGAAACAAAUGACGGUACCUGAAGAAUAAGCUCCGGCUAACUACGUGCCAGCAGCCGCGGUAAUACGUAGGGAGCAAGCGUUAUCCGGAUUUACUGGGUGUAAAGGGCGCGCAGGCGGGCCGGUAAGUUGGAAGUGAAAUCUAUGGGCUUAACCCAUAAACUGCUUUCAAAACUGCUGGUCUUGAGUGAUGGAGAGGCAGGCGGAAUUCCGUGUGUAGCGGUGAAAUGCGUAGAGAUCGGGAGGAACACCAGUGGCGAAGGCGGCCUGCUGGGCUUUAACUGACGCUGAGGCACGAAAGCGUGGGUAGCAAACAGGAUUAGAUACCCUGGUAGUCCACGCUGUAAACGAUGAUUACUAGGUGUGGGUGGACUGACCCCAUCCGUGCCGCAGUUAACACAAUAAGUAAUCCACCUGGGGAGUACGACCGCAAGGUUGAAACUCAAAGGAAUUGACGGGGGCCCGCACAAGCAGUGGAGUAUGUGGUUUAAUUCGAAGCAACGCGAAGAACCUUACCAGGUCUUGACAUCCAACUAACGAGGUAGAGAUACAUUAGGUGCCCUUCGGGGAAAGUUGAGACAGGUGGUGCAUGGUUGUCGUCAGCUCGUGUCGUGAGAUGUUGGGUUAAGUCCCGCAACGAGCGCAACCCUUGCUAUUAGUUGCUACGCAAGAGCACUCUAAUAGGACUGCCGUUGACAAAACGGAGGAAGGUGGGGACGACGUCAAAUCAUCAUGCCCCUUAUGACCUGGGCUACACACGUACUACAAUGGCCAUAAACAAAGGGAAGCAAGACCGCGAGGUGGAGCAAACCCCAAAAAAUGGUCCCAGUUCGGAUUGUAGGCUGCAACCCGCCUAUAUGAAGUUGGAAUUGCUAGUAAUCGUGGAUCAGAAUGCCACGGUGAAUACGUUCCCG
rnacentral:rRNA from 1 species